ACCGCUCGCCCCUCCUUGGGCGUUUCCUCCCUUGACUUGCCCGGCCUCGUGCCGGGCUUUUCUUUUGCCGCG
rnacentral:sRNA from 1 species